CUAGGGGGCAGGAGCUGGAGCCCUCUGCUGAACUGACAGACGUUCUGCUUUGCUCCCCCAGAU
ensembl:miRNA Mir3104 microRNA 3104